rnacentral:rRNA from 1 species
GCGAGGCGCACCGCGAGCGCGCGCGAUGGGACCCGAAAGAUGGUUAACUAUGCCUGGUCAGGACGAAGUCAGNGGAAACCCUGAUGGAGNUCCGUAGCGAUUNUGACGUGCAAAUCGAUCNUNGGAACUGGGUAUAGGGGCGAAANACUAAUCGNACCAUNUAGUAGCUGGUUCCCUCCGAAGUUUCCCUCAGGAUAGCUGGCACUCGGGAGAACCGCGCUCCAGCGCAAUAGCACGAGUAUCAUCCGGUAAAGCGAAUGAUUAGAGGCAUUGGGGUCGAAACGNCCUCAACCUAUUNUCAAACUUUAAAUGGGUGAGAUCUCCGGCUUGCUUGAAAAGCUCGGGUGAAGCCGGAGAUCGGAUCAACGGGUGCCAAGUGGGCCACUUUUGGUAAGCAGAACUGGC